AGUUUUGCACAGUGGCAGCAUGGUGGCUAGUGAUGUUUAUCUAAGGCGCCAUUAUUGCAAAUUGAAACAGUUCAGCGACAUGAAAAGCAAUAAAAGUUAGACUAGAAAUCCCCCCUAAAUAUGAAACAUUCCACAGAUU
rnacentral:snRNA from 1 species